AGUGAACGCUGGCGGUAGGCCUAACACAUGCAAGUCGAACGGCAGCACAGUAAGAGCUUGCUCUUACGGGUGGCGAGUGGCGGACGGGUGAGGAAUACAUCGGAAUCUACUUUUUCGUGGGGGAUAACGUAGGGAAACUUACGCUAAUACCGCAUACGACCUACGGGUGAAAGCAGGGGAUCUUCGGACCUUGCGCGAUUGAAUGAGCCGAUGUGGGAUUAGCUAGUUGGCGGGGUACAGGCCACCAAGGCGACGAGCCGUAGCUGGGCGGAGAGGAUGAUCGGCGACACUGGAACUGGGACAGGCACCAGACUCCUACGGGAGGCAGCAGUGGGGAAUAUUGGACAAUGGGCGCAAGCCUGAUCCAGCCAUACCGCGUGUGUGAAGAAGGCCUUCGGGUUGUAAAGCCCUUUUGUUGGGAAAGAAAAGCAGCAGGUUAAUACCCCGCUGUUCUGACGGUACCCAAAGAAUAAGCACCGGCUAACUUCGUG
rnacentral:rRNA from 1 species